rnacentral:rRNA from 1 species
AGAGUUUGAUCCUGGCUCAGGAUGAACGCUAGCGGCAGGCCUAACACAUGCAAGUCGAGGGGCAGCGGGAUUGAAGCUUGCUUCAAUUGCCGGCGACCGGCGCACGGGUGCGUAACGCGUAUGCAACCUACCCAGAACAGGGGGAUAACACUGAGAAAUUGGUACUAAUACCCCAUAAUAUAUUGGAAGGCAUCUUCCGAUGUUGAAAACUCCGGUGGUUUUGGAUGGGCAUGCGUUGUAUUAGCUAGUUGGUGAGGUAACGGCUCACCAAGGCGACGAUACAUAGGGGGACUGAGAGGUUAACCCCCCACAUUGGUACUGAGACACGGACCAAACUCCUACGGGAGGCAGCAGUGAGGAAUAUUGGUCAAUGGACGCAAGUCUGAACCAGCCAUGCCGCGUGCAGGAAGACGGCUCUAUGAGUUGUAAACUGCUUUUGUACGAGGGUAAACUCGACUACGUGUAGUCGACUGAAAGUAUCGUAUGAAUAAGGAUCGGCUAACUCCGUGCCAGCAGCCGCGGUAAUACGGAGGAUCCAAGCGUUAUCCGGAUUUAUUGGGUUUAAAGGGUGCGUAGGCGGUUUGAUAAGUUAGAGGUGAAAUACCGGGGCUUAACUCCGGAACUGCCUCUAAUACUGUUGGGCUAGAGAGUAGUUGCGGUAGGCGGAAUGUAUGGUGUAGCGGUGAAAUGCUUAGAGAUCAUACAGAACACCGAUUGCGAAGGCAGCUUACCAAACUAUAUCUGACGUUGAGGCACGAAAGCGUGGGGAGCAAACAGGAUUAGAUACCCUGGUAGUCCACGCAGUAAACGAUGAUAACUCGCUGUCGGCGAUACACAGUCGGUGGCUAAGCGAAAGCGAUAAGUUAUCCACCUGGGGAGUACGUUCGCAAGAAUGAAACUCAAAGGAAUUGACGGGGGCCCGCACAAGCGGAGGAACAUGUG